CGAUUUUUAAUGUCAGACAAAUUAAUUAGGUAAAUUACAAGGUAAACAGACUAAAGGGUGCUAGUUAUAGGAUUCCAUCAAAACAAAUACACAAAUAUACAAUUAAGCUAGAGGUACCCUAAGUGGUAAAAAUUUUCAAAUAUCAACUUUUCAAGGCCCAAUUUUAGCCCGGGCCCAAAAGCCACAAACAGAAAAAAUAAACCCAAAUAAAUAAAACAAAAUAAAAUCAAAAAUAAAAAAGACCCAAAAUAAAAAUAAUGUUCAGUCGAGAAUUACAUAAACCCAAAUCAGCCCAAAUGCAACAAAAACCCUAGUGGCCCAACAGCCCAAAAAACUAAACAUUUUCAGCAACAAAAAUGGAGGAAAACCCUAGCCGCCGUCGCCCUAACUGCUG
rnacentral:lncRNA from 1 species